rnacentral:rRNA from 1 species
CCUACGGGUGGCUGCAGUUGGGAAUAUUGGGCAAUGGGCGCAAGCCUGACCCCGCAACGCCGCGUGAAGGAAGAAGGCUUUCGGGUUGUAAACUUCUUUUCUCAGGGACGAAGCAAGUGACGGUACCUGAGGAAUAAGCCACGGCUAACUACGUGCCAGCAGCCGCCGUACUACGUAGGUGGCAAGCGUUAUCCGGAUUUACUGGGUGUAAAGGGCGUGGAGGCGGGACUGCAAGUCAGAUGUGAAAACCACGGGCUCAACCUGUGGCCUGCAUUUGAAACUGUAGUUCUUGAGUACUGGAGAGGCAGACGGAAUUCCUGGUGUAGCGGUGAAAUGCGUAGAUAUUAGGAGGAACACCAGUGGCGAAGGCGGUCUGCUGGACAGCAACGGACGCUGAGGCGCGAAAGCGUGGGGAGCAAACAGGAUUAGAUACCCCAGUAGUC